UUUUUUUCCGCAAGAUUCGAAUGUUAUGCCGACGCAGAGGAGGAGGGAGUGCCUGAUCUUCUGUUCAUACAUUGGCUUCUUGAGCUGAAAUGACGAUUUUGCCCUCAUACCUAAUUUCUUGAAAAUCAAUGUGAAUCUUCUUCAUAUGUGGUUGAUUUAGGGAUUGGGCUCUGCGAUUGCAGUAAGUAUCAAAACCAGGGACACAUGUAGGUAUGAUGAGUCUUUUUUGUGAAAGAUCUGUUGGGUUGUUUGGGAUUCAUUGGUUCACUGUUGAAUCCCAAGGUUUGAGAUUUUUUGUUAUCUAGCUCUUCUUCUGUUAAAGUUUGAAUUUUUAUUUGGUGAGAAGUUUGUUGGGUACUUGAAUCACUCCGGUUGAUUGGUUCAAUUGUGUCUGUAUACAUGGUCAAUGAUUAUGUGAAUCGAUGUUUUCUGCAUCUGGGCUUUCAUUUUAUUUGUUGUCUCUUUUCCUGGGUUUUCUUGCACAUGUGUACUCAUAUUCGAUUUGGGGGUUUGUUUUGCUGAUGAGGUCUCGAUUCAUGUUGAAUUGAAUACAGAGAGAAAUUUAGGGCAAGAUGAUUGAGGUAUUCGCUAGUCUCACGAACAAGUCUACAAUAGCUGGUGGUCUUCAUGGACGUCAGUCUACUUCUCACUUUUUAUUUAUUCAAUUCCAUUUGAUUGUGCUGGUUAGAUUGUUUUUAUGCAUAAAGUUUUAGUCUUUUUUGUUGAUGGAAAAUCUUUCUUGCACUAUUACUUAAGCCUAGGGGAUGUAAAUAUGGAAAAGCUUGCAGUUACAACCAUGGAAAAGGGAAACCAUUAGCUCCAGUUGUGGAACUUAACUUUACAUGUAUAUAUAUUUCGAGCAUCUUUGAUUUUUCUUUACCUGAUGGCUAUGGAAUACAGAUAUUGGUAAACCAAAAGGAGUAGUUGAAUUUUUCCGAAACCUAAUUCAAACAACUAAACAAACUUCUGGAACAGAACUAGUUAACCAUAGUAUGUAAGUGUGUGUGCAUUCUAAUCUUAUUGUUUUCUUCAUCUAUUUAGGACUUGGUUAAGAACAAUGCAGAGUAAAAUAGGCAAGUGCUCUCUACCCUUUAUCGGGCCAGAUUUACAUAAAACUUCGUUAUGUGAAAGUAGGCAAGUGCUCUCCACCCUUUAUUUGGCCAGAUUUACAUAAAACUUUGUUGUUUUGUGAUCAAACCACUCCACUAAUUUGAUUGAAAUACUAUUCUACUCAGUAUUAUGAUAGCAAAAUGGUGUUAGCUUUAAAGAAAAACACCUCUGUUUUAGCCAAAGAGAAAGAGAGAUGUGAAUAUAUAUGUCAGACACAGAUAAAGGCUAUGGAUAAGAUCAAAUGGACUGUUAGCGAUAGACAUAGCUAGACAUACAUCAAGUAGGUACCAAAUAAAAAUCAAUGUGUCAUAUAUGUCUUCUGGGUUUGUUCUAUUAUUUUUCUCUCCAUCAUCCAAGUAAGAGGGUAAAUAAUUAAAAUAUAAUUAGAAAAAUGAAAUAUCUAUAUGCCAUCUGGGUUCAGAAACAAAAAGACACGUAUAGUACUGGACUUGCAUUUCAGCUAGAAUUGGAGAGAAAAACAAAGAAGAAUCCACUACCAGUGUAAGUCAAUCGUAGCCUAGAGAUAGAGUAUGUAUAUGUAUAUAACCAUAUAUGCACAUAUGAAGUACAAUAUUGGUUGCUCUCAAUGCUUCUUAAAUUAGUCAAGUAAUUUACUAUGUUAGAAUUUGUCAAAUCUUUUGGCUUAACCAGACUUAGUGUAGCUCACUUACCUAAAUUGGAUUUCUGUUUUUCCGGAAUAUGACCAUGUGUGACUUGGUUUAAUUGAUCCAAUGGCUUACUUCAACAUUCCCUUAUUCUCCUUUUUGGGUCACUCUGGAAAGUACAUAUGUUAUUCCUCACUCAAAACCUCUCUUCAAGUUUGCAUGGAUGAUCUGCUUUGAUUAAAUCAGCAAACAAGAUUGAUAUCUAUAUUAAUUUGCAAACAUGGAAUCAUCACAUUUAUUAAAUAAGAUCACUGAUGCAUCUUUCGCAAGAUUUUUUAUUUUGAGAUUGAAAAAAAAAAAAAAAAAACCUUUGUACCUUCUGCCAAGAUUUUAAGUAUGAUCAUCCCUGCAUCUCUCUCCCAAGCUUUUUUGGCAUUGCAGUUAUCAGUUUGUCAUGGCAAAGAAGGACAAAGCGGUAAAUGAUAUGCCAAAGGAAAGAAUUCAUAAUACGGCUUAGAUGUUUAUUUUUUGUGAUACCUUGCAUCAAAUUCUUAAUGUACACAGAGUCAAAUCUUUGACCACAUUCAUUCCUAAAUGUCAAUCUGGCAUUUCAAAUCAGUUAUUUGCAUAUACAUUUGAUACUUCCCUCCAUUUCCAUGAUGACAUGUAUAUUGCGCGCAUUUUCAUAUAUCUGAGAAAUGAAUCAAUAGUUUCAUAUUUGUGAGUUGUUACAAUUUAAUAGCUAUGUGUUUCUUUAUUUGUUGGUAUAAAUCCGAAUCUAAUCCAACUUCUGUACCAAUUUAGACGUUGAAGAUUAUCUGCUGAUUUUUGCAACAGCAAUACAAUUAACAUAAGUCAUUUUGUUCUCUACAUGCAUAAUUAACAUAAAAUCUCUUAUUAUUGUUUGAUCUGAUUAUAAAUCAUAUAUAUGCUAUCUGCAACUUCAGAAUUCACACAUUGCAUCAACUAUGUCAUCAUUUAUUCACUAUUACUCUAUAUUACUCUACUUAUGAUAUUGUACUUGGCUUAUUUCUGAUUUUCAAUGACAGCAAUGAGAUGGAAAAACGAGGUAUUGCUUACCACAAAAGAUGCAUCAUAUGAUUGAACAAACUGAGGAUACAUCUGAGAAUUAAUGUAAAAAUAGUUGGUUUGAACUGAAAACAUAGUUGUGCAGGAAUGACAAAAAUAAAAUUCAUUGGAGGAGUUGGGAACGCGUACGGCUCUGUCUCACAAAGCAUGAAGGAGGCAUGAGUUUCAAAAAUUUAUAUGCUUAUAACCUUGCUAUGUUGGCAAAGCAAGGUUGGAGAUUGGUCACAAAUCCUGAUUCACUCAUUGCAAGAUUGUAUAAAGCAAGAUACUUUCCAAAUUGUGACUUUUGGCAAGCGGAGUUGGGUGAUGCACCCUCCUUCUCUUGGAGGAGUAUCCUUGCAGGAAGACCUGUGUUAAGGGCUAGAACUAAGUGGAGAAUUGGCGAUGGUACGAAGGUGAAUAUAUGGCUGGAUCAUUGGGUUCCAGAAUGUUCGCAGUUACUUAUACAGAGACCUGCUCUCUCUCCAGUUGAAUAUGUGUCCGACCUUAUUAACUUGCAGACUAGACAGUGGAUACCUGGACUGGUCCAUGCGGUCUUCCAUCCUACUGUGGCACCUAAAGUUCUCAAUAUUCCUCUUAGUCAACAAACAAAGCCUGACAAGUUGUACUGGAGCUUGGAAAGAAGAUGUUGGUUCACAGUCAAAACUGCAUACUGGGUGGCUAGAGCACAGGUCCUUAACCAUGUCCUUGUGUCUUCAUCUAAUGGAGAUCCUUUUAAGGAGUUGUACGUGGAGGAAAGUUUGGAAGGCCAAUGUUCCUGGUAAGGUGCAGAUAUGUGUAUGGAGAGCUUGUUGCAAUUUGUUACCUACAAGAGAAAGGCUAAUGGGUAAGGGCAAUGUGGGAGACCUCACUUGUUUGUUAUGCAACCAUCAAUUGGAAAACACUGCUUAUAUCUUUUGUAAGUGCACUACAGCCUCUACUCUUUUAUCUCAACCUCUAUUCCAUCUCCAAAGUUCUUUGCUUCCUUAAAUCAAUUUCAAAUAAUGGAUGCUGGAACAAGCUUUGAACCUUAGAACGGAGGUUUUUGAAAAGCUCUUGAUGCUUAUAUGGGGACUGUGGAAAAAUCGGAACACCAAACUGUGGGAGGAUACUGCUAGAAGUCCUCUAGACUUGUUAUUUGGUUGCAUGACUUGGCUGGAGGAAUUCCAAAAGUCACGAGCUAGUGAGAAAAUGCCGAGGCAACCUAAUCUUUAUGCAUGGCAGUCUCCAGCAGCAGAUACGUUAAAGCUUAACAUUGAUGGGGCAUAUGUACCUCACCUCACUAAGGGUGGAAUAGGAGGCAUUCUUCGUAACUCUAGGGGAAAUGUUGUUGCGGCGUUUCAGCGACUAGUCCAUUUUGUGAGCUCAGCUUUCCAUGUCGAGCUCCUUGCUACACAGGCCGGACUAGAGUUGAUUAGAAGACAUAAUUACAGGUCUGUGGUUAUUGAAACUGAUUGUCAAAUAGCAGUCCAAGACAUAUGCAGUGCUUCUCCAGUUCUCACUCAAUAUGGGACUCUAAUUGUUGACAUUCAGACUACCUUCAAGAACCUGCAGCUGGUGCGUUUAUGUUUCGGUCCCCGCACUUGUAAUCGAGUAGCCCAUAGACUAGCUGGUAUUGCUUUUGAAUCUAAUUCGUGUUAAAAUUGGGUGAACUCCACUCCGGAGUGUAUCCAAGACAUUGUACAAAAGGAGUCCGCUCCUACUUAAUUUAUAAAGCUGAGUCUUGUUUGCCUUAAAAAAAAA